GCUUUCGUGGUGUUGUGGUCAGCACGCUCGGCGCGUAUUCGAGAGGUCAAUGGUUCGAUUCCCGACGAGGGCA
rnacentral:tRNA from 1 species